GAAGUUGUGGCUCAGUGGUGGUGUGCUUGCCUUGCACAUAUGAGGCCCUGAGUUUAAUUCUCAGCACUGCA
rnacentral:tRNA from 1 species